rnacentral:rRNA from 1 species
UACGAAGGGGGCUAGCGUUGCUCGGAAUGACUGGGCGUAAAGGGCGCGUAGGCGGAUGGCACAGUCAGAUGUGAAAUUCCUGGGCUUAACCUGGGGGCUGCAUUUGAUACGUGUUGUCUUGAGUGAGGAAGAGGGUCGUGGAAUUCCCAGUGUAGAGGUGGAAUUCGUAGAUAUUGGGAAGAACACCGGUGGCGAAGGCGGCGACCUGGUCCUUAACUGACGCUGAGGCGCGAAAGCGUGGGGAGCAAACAGG